GUUUGAUCCACCAAUUAAAGGCAUGUUUGGUGACAACUGAAUCAUCUGAUUCCCCACUGGUGUCCCUGCCAAAUGAUAAAUAAAUUAAUACAGAACUAAAAAAAUUAAUAGAGAGGCAUAAGCAAUAAUAAUAUAGGAAAAAGAUAAUCAAAUGGUUAGCUUACAACAUAGUGAUUAGCGCAUCCCUUUCUGGUUUGAAAAUGAGUGGGUACUUGUAGAAUGGAGUUUAGCCCAUUUACCACGGUACUUGUUUAAAUAUUUAAACCUCAGAUGGCCAAAUUGUUCAGGCAUCACUUUUGCAGUUGUCUAACAGUAACAGAUGCAUGGAGAUAAUCCCCAGAUCUUAUGUUACUGUUUUUGUUGUUAUCACUCUCCAAUUUACAGUUAAUGUUUACUAGUGUUCUUUGUGUUUACUACCAGUAUGGUCAAUACUGUAAUUUUCAUUUUGAUAAUCUUCUUUGAUUCCCACUCAAGUUUUUCACCUAUGUCCUGAAAUAUUUCCUAGUCCCUGACAGAAGAUAAUCUGGAAAUCCCAGCUCUUUAGUGAAAACAAGUUAGUUGACUCAAUUGGUAAACUCAGUUAUCUGCUCUGUUUUGUGUGUAUGGAAAGAGUCAAAAGUUAGUGAACAAGACCUUACCGUAACUGUUUAUUAUUCCAUCAUUAAUGAGUUCUGGGAUACUGAAUGCCGAAGCAAGCAUUGCAGCUGAGGGAGGCGAGAAGGCUGCUCCCCUGAUUAUCAUCUUCUUUGCAACUUCCAGGGCCCAUCCCAUGCUCUGAUCUGCAAUAACACAAGUGAUCUUCUUGUCAUCUGAUCUGUUAAUCUUUCUUAUCAGCUCUUCCAGCUUCCCGGGCAUGACCUUUAAGAUUCCUUCCGUUAACCUUACCAAGUUGUUCCUAUCCUCUGAGGGUUCCAUCCCAUCUGGGAUUGAAACCAGAUGUAUUUGAUUGGCGAGGUUGUCUUGGUCUGACAGUGCAUUCACUACUCUUUUGUGGUUAAACUCAGUGUUCACAAAAGUGACCUUGAAACUCUGUGCAACUAAACGUUGUGAAAGCUCUAACAGGGGAAUUACAUGGCCUUGUGCUGGAUAAGGUAUGGCUAAAAUGUGUUGCUUUCCCAUCUAUGUUCUUUUGCUUAAUUACCAGAUAGUAAUAAUAUUUUCAGUGCUGCUUGAACUCAAUAUUUUUGUUGCUCUUAUAGGCAGCCCUGGAGGCAUGACCAAUGAGCCUAUUCGGAGUGUGUUGUCCAUUUGUUUUUGUUGCUUUCUAAUCUCAAACUUGGGAAUAUGCUUGUCGUUGGCUUUAAGGGCAUUGCUUGGUUUGCUCUAGUUGUCUUUGAACUACUCUCUUAAUCAGGUCCCCAUUUAUGCUGUGGCAGUGAACUCUUAAAUGCUUAGGCUGUUUGCUGCAGCCAACAAAGUAGUAAUUACACCAGAUCUUGCAUCCUUUGAUUAUUAUUUUCUUAUCAGAUUUGAGUAAAAUUCCACUAUAAAAAGAGGGGUGUGGAGGUGCAAGCAGGAGUGCAACAAUUCAAAUGGAUAAAAUCUCUACCAGUAAAAAAUUAAAGGAGAAGAUUUUAAGUACAAUAGAUAAACUAUAAUCAGAAGACAAUAGAGUUUUCUACCAGCCAAGUAUUAAAGAGAUUAUGUGCUGGUAGAAGUUUUCAUAUUUGUCUUGUCGGUUUUUUUUCUUAUUAUUAGUUAACUUUUCACAUAAAAUUGGUGUCCUGUGGAUUUAUUGGAGAACUUUUCGUAUUUGUCUUUUGUAUUUUUACACAUGUUUUUGCCCCAGCACUUUUUUGAAUAUACACUCUUUUGGAAUAUAUUAAUUAAUUGCAGUCUCAUAAACUGUUUUGUGUGUGUGUGUGUGUGUUUUAUUAUUGUUCUUGUUUAGUUUUUGUUCUCUCUCUCUGCAUGUCUAUAUUGGGGCAAGCAUUGAACUUUUCUAGGGGCUAUUGCAUAUUUUUGCGCCUCUUGCAUGUAUGUCAUUUGUUUGCACUUUUCCAGUAUAACCAUUUAGGAAAUGAAGUCGCUCUCAGUUCUCACCAUAAGCCAUUUGAUUGCUAUAUUCUCUUUAAGAAUAGCACCUCAAUGGAGAUGUGCAUUUCUGCAUCCACAGCUCAAACAAUUUAAUUGACCUCAAAUUGGAUCAGGAGAACUAGCUGAUUUUAUAAAUUGAUUCAUUCGGUGUAAUCAAUGGUAGAAUCCUUUCCUAUUCUUAAACAAUGUUAAAAGCAUUUUGCUAAUUUCUGAACCAUAUAAAUUGAAGGUUACUCAAUCUGCAUGAGCUGAUGCUGAUACUUAGAUACAAGUGCUGCGUGAUAUUUAGGCACUUGUACAUAACAAAUGGAAAGCAGGUUUUCCUUCAGAUAAAUAACAUGGAGUUCAAGCCGAUUUUUCCAGUAUCCUCUUGGACACAUGCAACUUGUUAUCAUCUACGGCGGUCGGUCAUUCUGGGACAAGGGCUAGAGUCAAAGCAACGCUAGUGAUUGAUGAAGAGCUGCUACUCCAAGUGUAAUCACGAAAGGGGAAAGAAGCAGAAUAAUAGAGAGCAUGUUGAGGUAAGCAUCUCACCCUGAACAUUUUCUUUUUAUUUAAGUUGUCUUAGUCUUACCUCUCUAGAUUUGGCCUUGUUUGACUUGUUCCUUGUUGAGUUGUCCCUUCCUUCCACGUGGGAAAAUAGAUAUGUUUUCUCCAAGAUUCUUACCUUAGUUCUGGUCUUGGACGAGGGACGGCUUUGAAGGUAGCUUAUGAGGAUGCGGAUUUAAUAAAAUUCUGCAGUUUAAGAAAGAUUUUUGGAAGUGUACCUGUUAAAGUGUUUUGUUGAUAUGCCCUCAGAAAUACUAGAAAUUAUUAUCAAACUAAUAAUUUAUGUCAAAAAAUAAAAAUAAAAAUAUUUGGACAUUAUUAGCAAGGAAGUCCUUUAGUAGUAAGUACGUUGUGUGUUGAAUCCUUAAAGAAUGUGGUAAUUAAAUUUUUUGG